rnacentral:misc_RNA from 1 species
GAUCCGGAUCAUGCCGCUUGAGUCGCAAGAUGUGACGAGUUGUCUCCCCACCGGCGAAACGGGACAAGUCGCCGUCGCGGCGGCGUCGAUGCUGCGAGGGUACCUCGGGCAAAUGGAUUCACCGACGAUCGGGGGAUACUUCCUCACCGGCGACCUCGGCCGGCUUGACGAGUUUGGGAACCUCACCAUCACCGGGCGGAUGAAGCUCCUGAUCGACGUCGGCGGCAAAAAGGUGAACCCACUGGAGGUCGAAGAGGUGCUUGCGCAGCAUCCCGGCGUGGCGACGUGCGUCGUGGUGCCGGUGCAAGUCAGCGACACCGUUUCGCGCCUGAAGGCAAUCGUCACCCCCGU